AAGCCAUACAUCGGACAUUUCAAAACUAAAUCUUUUAAUCAUUCCCAAGCUUCAUAUAGUGUUUCAUCAUCCAAUUUCUAAAAAUAUGUAAUGUCAUUUCUAAGCUU
rfam:Gossypium arboreum cultivar AKA8401 contig_15328_3, whole genome shotgun sequence.